rnacentral:lncRNA from 1 species
GUACCAGUUCCCAUUCCUGAAUCCUCCACCCACAGGACCCUGAGCCUCCGUGGUGCCCACUACUCCAUGCCUGGGGCUCCCAGAUAGUCUCCACAACACAGAGCAAGAGGGCAAGGGCUGGGUAACCAUGGUGGGUGUGAGGGCCCUGCGGUGGUCAGAGGAUUGCUGCGAAAACUCUGUGCACCCUCCGUGCUCCAACACGAGCAGAAAUUGUUCACCCUCUAGAGCCUUGAGUCCGGGAAGAGGAGAAGGGCCCCUUCCUCAGAGGCCACCACUGUCGUGGCCACCUCCACAACCUACUGCUGGCAGCAGAAGUGCAACCUCCCCCCAUAGCGCCCCUAACCUGCCCCCCCCCACCACAAACUUAGCCCCUGGAUUGUGCCCACAACACACCCAGAGACUGCUGCAGGCAGUGUAACCCUGAUAGCGCCCCCAAACCACCCCUCUGCUCCUGGCAGUGUAACACUCGAUAGUGUCCACAACCCAUCCCCACCACGGGUGUUGCAGCACCAAAUAGUGCCCCAUCAAACCUGCCCCCCACCCGGACCACAAGCAGCACAGCCCCAGAUAGCACCCCCAAUCUGCUCCUGUCGCGGGCAGUGAACGCCAGGGGUAGUGCACCCAACCAACCCCCCGACCCCACCUUCCCCUUUCCCCCACGGACAAUGCAACAUUUGACAGCUCCCCUAAAGCACCCCCGACUGCCUGCCAGUUGGCAUUGCUGCUGACAUUGUAGCUCACGAUAGCUCACCCAACCCGCCCCCUGGAUCGGCCAGUGCAGCAGCUAAUAAUGCCCCUAACCCCCCGCCACUUGCCGCUGGUAGUGCACGACAGCACACACAACCUGCCUCCAACCCCCCGCCACCUUAGGCAGUGUAGACUCUGAUAGCGCAGCAAACCUGCCCCACUGCCAGCAAUUCAACACCCGAUAGCGCCACCCACCAGCCACCCACGGCAGGCAGUGCAGCCCCAAAAGCACACCAAACCCACUCCCCCACCACCCCACAAGCGGGCAGUGCAGCCGCAGAGAGCGCACCUACCCUGCCACCUUUCUACUACUUGACAGAGAUGCAGUCUCCGUCGCCACCACCAACCGCAGCCAGGCGAGCCGCCAGGGCCAAGGCUCCAGCCGCCAGCAUUGGGCAUGGUCCCCACCUUCUCCUAGACCUCUAGCUGGUCAAGAGCAGCUCCAGCUGCCAGCCACCCCACUACCGCUCCGGCUGCCAGCCACCCCCCUACCGCUCCGGCUGCCAUCUUACUGCUCCAGCCUCCCGCCUAGCGCUCCGGCCGCCAUCUUACUGCUCCAGCCCCCCUCCUACUGCUCAGACUACCCUCCUACCGCUCAGGCCGCCCUCCUAAGACUUCAGCCGCGCUGCCAUCUCUGUUGCCACCACCAUCCAGAGCGAGACGAGCCAUGGUGUUACAGGCUCCAGCCUCCAGCUCCCCCUUCUCCUGGUCCUCUAAGCCGGGAACAGAGCAGCUCGGCAGGAGAUACUGGAGAGCCUAAACUGGCGUGAGGCCUCCUCAACAUGCACAUGGGGUUACGUGGGUGGUUUCUGGACUACAUGUUCUGAUUGGGUGAGAGAAAACCUCUAGGCCUUCUCUGAUUGGACUUUAUUUUCAUACUCUGAUUGGUUGUCCUAAGACUUUCUUUCAUCCAAUCAGAACAUAACAAAGUCCAAUCAGAGUAGGCCUCCAGGCUUUCUCUUAUCCAGUCCUGGAACGUGUAGUCCAGGAACGGCAUAUGCAUAACUUCAGUACAUAAGUGGUGCUGAAGAAGAGUCAGGCCACUCCAGGUUCUUCUGUGUCUGCUCACUGAGCUGCUCCAAGCCCGGCUUAGAGGACCAGGACAGACUGGAGGCUGUAGCCUGCAGCACUGUGGCUUGGCCUCCCUGCAGUUGGUGGCGACAGAGACUGUAGUGUGGCUGGAGCGGUAAGAAGGGGAAAAUACUUUUGGGAUAGAUGGAAGGGUAAAGAGGGUGGUUAGUGCCAAAAGGAAAAAAGGAUGGUGAGCCGGAGAAGGCAUUGCAUAAAGACAGUAAGGAAAAGAUGUUGGGGGGAAAAAAUGGGGGGUAGAUGGAGGGGGAAAAACAGGGUGGUGAACAGGAGGGAGAGAAGGUUUCACAGAAAGGCAGUGGGGAAAAAGUUUUUGGGUAGAUGGAAGGGGGUAAGAGAGGGUCGUGAGGGGGGAACAGGGAUGAGCAGGAAGGAGAGAAGGUUUGCAAAAAUACGGUGGGGAGAAAAGAAAGGGAAAGAAGACUGUGGGUAAAAAGAUUUUGAGUGGAUGGAGGGGGGAAAAGGGUGACAAGUGGGAGGAGAAAAGAGGGUGCAGAGAGGGAGGGGGAAGAGAGAGUGGCGAGCAGGAGGGAGAGAAGGUUUUGCGAAAAGACAGUGAGGAGAGAAGCUUUUAGGUAGAUGGAGGGGGGAAGAGGGUGGCCAUUGGGAGAAAGAUAAAGAGGGUGGCGAGUGGGAAAGAGAAAAGGUUUUGCGAAAAGACGAUAGGCAGAAAAGAAAGUGUAGAAAGAAAAGACAGUGGGUAAAAAGUGUUUGGGUAGAUGGAGGGGGAAAAGAGGGUAGCAAGUGGGAGGAGAAUAGAAAGUGUGGCCAAAGGGAGUGGGGAAAGAGGACUGGGAAAAAGGCGAUGGGGAAAAUAGUUUGGGGUAGAUGGAGGGCAAAAAGAGGGUGGCAAGCAGGAUAGAGGAAAGAAGAGGGCGAGCGGGAAGCGGGGAAGGCUUUGUGAAAAGAUGGCAGGGAAAAAUUGGGGAGGUAGCUGGGUUAAAAGAGCGUGGUGAGCAGGAGUAGAGAAGAGGCUUUGCAAAAAGAUGGCGGGAAAAUGUUUUUGGGUAGAUGGAGAAGGGAAAGGGUGGCAAGGAGGAAGGGAGAAAAAGACAAUAGGGAAGGAGGAAGAAAAAGGGUGGCAAGAGAGGGAGCCAAAGACGGUCGGCAAAAAAAUUCCUCCUGUUACUGAUUUUUUAAUACUUUUCCUACAUUUUGUAUUCAUGUAUGCUUUUAUGGUAGCAAGUAUCAUUCUUUUAUUUUCACUAGUGAAACUCCUUUAAACAUUUCUUUUAGAGUCAGUCUGGAGGUAAUGACUUCCCUUAACAUUUUCUCGUCUGGAAAUACCUUAUUUUCCUUUCUUUAUGAAGCUCAGUCUGGCAGGUUAUGAAAUUCUUGCGUGGCUGGGUGCAGUGGCUCAUGCCUGUAACCCUAGCACUUUGGGAGGCCGAGGCAGGCAGAUCACCUGAGGUCAGGAGUUCAAGACCAGCCUGGCCAAUAUGAAGAAACUCCAUCUCUAUUAAAAAUUAGAAUUUGCCAGGCGUGGUGGCGGGCAUCUGUAAUCUCAGCUACUGGGGAGGCUGAGGCAGGAGAAUUGCUUGAACCCAGGAAGCGGAGGUUGCAGUGAGCUGAGAUCACACCACUGCACUCCAGCCUGGGUGGCAAAGUGAGACUCUGUCUCCAAAAAAAAGAAAUUAUUGGAUGGCAUUUUUUUUUUCUUUAAGAAGGCUAACGCUAGGCCCCAAUCUUUUCUAGGUUGCAGGGUUUCUGCUGAUAAGUCUGUUGUUAAUCUAAUUUACUUCAUAGGUAAUUUGGCCCUUUCUUUGAGCUGCCUUUAA